UAUAUACUCCCUCCGUCUGGAAAUACUUGUCAUCAAAAUGGAUAAAAGGGAUGUAUCUAGAUGUAUUUUAGUUUUAGAUACAUCCCUUUUUGUCCAUUUUGAUGAAAAGUAUUUUCGGACGGAGGGAGUAUAAU
rnacentral:pre_miRNA from 1 species